rnacentral:piRNA from 1 species
UGGUAUGUCCUCAGACGUUUGCCUGAGUGA